AAAAGGUACUACCAAAAAAAAGGUCGAUGCCGCUGAGCGUCACGAACCCCGGAAGCCAAUCCCGAACUCGCCGUCGACACUGAGCUCGGGCGUCCUUCGACCUUCUCUUCCCCAAUCCCCUUGGCCCGCGCCCUGCCCCCCUCCAUUCCCUCUCGCGCCUCCAGCACCGCCCCUCUGGCCCUGGCUCCGUCGCCUCCGCUGGCCUUCGCAUUCCCCUCGCCGACGGCCAUGAUUGACUGCCCGCGGCUGCUUCUUGCUGCCGCGAGCUCCGCCCCCGGCCCCUCGUCCGCCGCUUGCCGGAGGUUCGCCACCGGGUGCCCUCCCUUCUCCCUUUCAUGCCGCGGCCGCCUUUCUUCUUUCCCUGUGCAAUCUGCAUCCUCUGGGGCGGGGAGCCAGUCGAGCGUCGUGGAUGAGCCGGAGGCCGUCGAAUGGGCCAUGCAGGACUUCUACGCUUUGCGCAAGGAUGUUGAGUUGGCCGUAGAGCGUGUCAAUGAAGUCAGGCAGGAUGCUGGACUGGAACAGCUUCUGGAGGAAAUCGCUUCACUGGAGAACAAGUCUGGAGAUAGCACCUUGUGGGAUGAUCCUUCCAAGGCACAGGAGUUGCUUGUUGCUCUCACAGAGCUCAAAGAGAAAGUCAAACUUCUUAACGAUUUCAAGUCGCAGGUUGAAGAAGCGGAUACCAUUGUGCAGCUUACAGAGGAGUUAGACUCCAUAGACACAGGCCUUCUUGAGGAGGCAUCAAAGAUCAUAAAGGCAUUGAAUAAGGCACUAGAUAAUUUUGAAAUGGCACGGCUUCUUUCUGGGCCUUAUGACAAGGAAGGAGCUGUAAUUACUAUCUCUGCAGGCGCUGGUGGCACCGACGCCCAGGAUUGGGCUGACAUGUUGCUCAGGAUGUAUGUGAGGUGGGGAGAGAAGCAGCGCUACAAGUCAAGAGUGGUAGAGAAAUCCCCUGGCGAGGAGGCUGGAAUAAAAUCAGCAACAGUUGAAUUAGAGGGAAGAUAUGCCUAUGGGUAUCUCUCAGGAGAGAAAGGGACACACAGGAUCGUCCGCCAGUCUCCAUUCAACGCUAAAGGCCUUCGACAGACCAGCUUUGCUGGUGUUGAGGUCAUGCCUCUUUUACCAGAGGAAUCCUUGGAUGUAGAAAUUCCUGAAGAGGAUCUGGACAUAAGUUUUACGAGAGCUGGAGGUAAAGGAGGCCAGAAUGUGAACAAAGUGGAGACUGCUGUUCGCAUGGUCCAUAUCCCCACUGGCAUUGCCGUCCGUUGUGCAGAGGAGAGGAGUCAGCUGGCUAACAAGAUAAAGGCCCUAAGACGGCUGAAGGCAAAGCUUCUGGUGAUCGCCGAGGAGCAGCGUGCGUCGGAGAUCAAGCAGAUCCGUGGUGAUGCGGUGAAGGCGGAGUGGGGGCAACAGAUACGCAAUUAUGUCUUCCACCCCUAUAAGCUCGUCAAGGACGUCCGGACGGCAUGCGAGACGUCGGACAUCAGCGGUGUGAUGGAUGGCGAGCUGGAUCCCUUCAUCAAAGCCUACCUUCAGUAUAAGCUCUCUGCUGCUGCCGAGGAGCACAGCGUCAAAUGAUGCUGACAUCGACAAUCCAAGGUAGCAGUAUGGAAUUUUGAUGCGCUCGUCAUCGUUGGCUCUGGCUGAUUGAGCCGCCCUAGUGAAGGUAUGCAGUUUUACAGAGGCUUUUGCAGUUUUUGUAGUCUUUGUGUCCAGUGCCUCUAAAGGUGCUGGAUAUGAAAAACAGCCAAGUGAUGAAUUUAAGUUGAAGGUUGUGACUAGUGAAACAGCUCGACGGGAGUUUUUAACUGUUGGAACCAGAAGCCACAAAGGCAUGAUGGUUGAAGCAUUGGUCUCGUAACACAUGAAGGGUGCCUUGUGUACUGUACUACUGGUGCUUCUUUCACCAUUUGAUUUUUGCCUAUGAUGAAUUCCUGAGUAAGCUGAACCGUAACAAACUGAAGUCGACGGUGGUUUGUCCGUUGAAUUUGUGUCCAUGGGAAUAUUGAGCAUAGAUACCUGGGGAGUAAGUAUGCUGGAGAAAUAUUGUGUGUAGGAUUUUUCUGCUGGAGGUUUUAAAAUUUUGAUGAUCGAUCCCUUCUUAUUUUUCUUUUGAGGCCAAUUAGUUGCCUCUCUUUAGCUAGAUUGGGCUGCAACUCGGUUAGGAAAAGCCGACAAGCUAUUAGGCCCAACUUGCUAUCUCGUAUGUGCGAGUUUGGACUUCUAGGAGCGAAAGGCGGGCCCCAUGGCCAUGGUCAUGUAUGUUUUUUUUUUAAAUGGAGGCGUACC
rnacentral:rRNA from 1 species